GAGCUUUCCCUGCUUGGCAGAUGGAUGCCUUGUGAACUUAAAGGCAAAGUAAUCAACUUAACAUAAAUCGCAAGAUGCAAUUUCACAGGGUCGGACGCCGCUAUACGCUCUAGCAUGUAGUUGCUAGACAUUUGUUGACGACAGUAGCCUACUAUAGCGUGACUGACAACGCCACUGAGGCUAUGCACACAAGCUCAGAUGUACAGGACUGUGCUUGGAACGCUAAACAAACAUAGCCUGCUCUCCUUCAUAAGCUUGCUGUGUUGGUUGCUGCUGGAUGCGUUGUGUGCCCCUGUAGGGAGUGUCUCUGUACUGAGGAAAUUCUUCUCAGGAAGUGGCGUAUAGGUUGGUUACAUGAGCAGUCCACUUUUCAUACGCUCCCUCUACUGGUGUCCACUCUGUCACCCUCCCAGGACAACUCGUCCAGCUGGGCACGAAUCACCCGUGAAUCUCCAGCGGUAUAGCGAGGGAGCAGGAAAUAGAACGGGAGGCUUUAACCCGAUAAGACUGCUGUUGCAGAGCGGGCACACUCCGUCUCUGUGUCUCUCUCUCUUCCUCCCUCCCUCAUUCUCUCUCUGUCACCCUCUAUCUCUCCAUUCUUCUCCCUCCUUACAGUUGCUACAGGCUCUUACAUAAGCCAGUUGGAUAUUUUCAGCUUCUCAGCACAGAUGCAGUCAAGUUGAAGAGAACGCAUUAAAUAUUUCAUUUUGCCUCCUCCCAGACCUGUCUAGUUGGGGUGAAUCAACAUUAUAAUACUACGCUGUUUUUAUCUGAGUCUCCGUGACUGGUUUCAGAAUGCCAAUCAAUCCGAUGCUUUUUCUAUUCAAAUGUAGGUUAUCUAAUCAGAGAAGGAAAGAAAAUGGACAGAGAAUGGGCAGAAGUAGGUGGGAAACACCCUUAGAGAUUUCCUCUAUACCAUCUAUUUAGUAAACUGACCUACAUUUGAAUAAUAAAAAACACUAAAUGUUGUGUUAAAAGCUUUACCUCACAAGAAUCUCAAAGAGACUCACUAUUAGCAAGGUGAUCUCUGUAUAUGGUGACUGAAGAUUGGUGAGGAGAUGAGGAACAUAUAUACAUAUUAUUGUAGCCAUGCUAAACGGCUUCCAUUGGGAAUUCAAUAGGGGUGAGUUUAAUAUAACUUGCUGUGUGUGUAGUGCUGAAAGUCACAGAUGGCACAGAGUUACGUAAUACAAGAAGAGGCCAUUUUUCACAGAAUGGAAGAGGUUCUGGACCUCUGGAGUGAGGAUAGCGACAAUAUGUGUGUGGCUAGUAGUUUAUAGUAUUUUGAGGAUGUUUUCUAAAUUCCCUCAUUCUCACCUCUGAACCUCAUUUAUGUAAACCACAUCGCUGGACUCAGUUUUCCAGCAUGCCCCAUAACAUGACUGCAAAUCACUACACCAUUUUUAUUGUUUCCUGCAUUUCAUUGAUGUUGUCAUGUUAUUUGUUCCGUUUCCAUAUGUUGUCUCUAAAGAACAUGACUUUGAAUGUCACCGUCAUUGUGUUUUAGGUGUGAAAUGCUAAGGAUAAUGUGUGCCAGGUUGAAGUUAUAAUUGUUUUGUUUCAUAAUUUAAAUCAGUUUAAAAUACAUGGUCAUAGUGAUAUCAGUUAUAUACAACAAUGGUUCUUUUUGAAUAAUUUAUUGUAACAAAAAGCAUCAAAAUGCAUUGUUUAACCUAUAAUAGAUGACGCUGUCCAGUGAGGCAUACAAAUCAUUCGUCCACGCCUUCCAAAUACCGCUCAUAACUAAUUAAAACAAGGUUAUUACUGUGAGGAGGGACUGUAAUGGGUCAUUUGACAUGUAUAUGUGAAUCUAAAAAUAAUUGACUAAUAAAAUAAAUAUUUCUAAAUUAA